rnacentral:rRNA from 1 species
CCUACGGGUGGCAGCAGUGAGGAAUAUUGGUCAAUGGACGAAAGUCUGAACCAGCCAAGUCGCGUGAGGGAUGACGGCCCUAUGGAUUGUAAACUUCUUUUAUAUGGGAAUAAAAUGUUGCACGUGUGCCAUUUUGUAUGUACCCUAUGAAUAAGGAUCGGCUAACUCCGUGCCAGCAGCCGCGGUAAUACGGAGGAUCCGAGCGUUAUCCGGAUUUAUUGGGUUUAAAGGGAGCGUAGGUGGACUGUUAAGUCAGUGGUGAAAGUGUGGGGCUCAACCAUAGAAUGGCAGUUGAAACUGGGAGUCUUGAGUAUAGUAGAGGGAGGCGGAAUGCGUGGUGUAGCGGUGAAAUGCUUAGAUAUCACGAAGAACCCCGAUUGCGAAGGCAGUUUACUGGACCGUAACUGACGCUGAGGCACGAAAGCGUGGGGAUCAAACAGGAUUAGAUACCCGUGUAGUC